ensembl:snRNA U1 U1 spliceosomal RNA
AUACUUUUCCUGGCAGGGAAGAGACCAUGGUCAAGAAUGUAGGUUUCCUAGAGCAAGGCUCAUCUACUAUACUUGAGAUAUGCUGACCCCUGAAAGUUCUCAAAAUUCAGUAAACUCCACUGUGUAAGUUGUUGUUGUGGGGGACUGUAUGCAUGCUCUCCCCUA